UACAGAGGGUGCGAGCGUUGUCCGGAAUCACUGGGCGUAAAGGGCGCGUAGGCGGCCCGGUAAGGUUGCGGUGAAAGCUCGGGGCUCAACUCCGAGUCGGCCGUGCGAACUGGGCUCACUGGAGCAUAGUAGAGGCAGGUGGAAUUCCGGGUGUAGCGGUGGAAUGCGUAGAGAUCCGGAAGAACACCGGUGGCGAAGGCGGCCUGCUGGGCUAUGGCUGACACUGAGGCGCGACAGCGUGGGGAGCAAACAGG
rnacentral:rRNA from 1 species